CAAAUAUUUACAAAAAUGUGAGGGGUGUACUCACUUUUGUGAUAUACUGUAUAUAAGAGAGAUGAACAGAGAGCUAAUGCAUUAUAGUUCAGUUAUUUUGUGUACAGUUCAGAGAUGGCUUGAUGUGGUGUGCAGCGUAGAGUGUAUUAUCCUUUAGUCUCUAUGGACCAGGUGGUCAGUUGGUGAGGGCCACAGCAUAGUCCUUUAGUCUCUAUGGACCAGGUGGCCAGUUGGUGAGGGCCACAGCAUAGUCCUUUAGUCUCUAUGGACCAGGUGGUCAGUUGGUGAGGGCCACAGCAUAGUCCUUUAGUCUCUAUGGACCAGGUGGUCAGUUGGUGAGGGCCACAGCAUAGUCCUUUAGUCUCUAUGGACCAGGUGGUCAGUUGGUGAGGGCCACAGCAUAGUCCUUUAGUCUCUAUGGACCAGAAGGCCAGUUGGUGAGAGCCACAGCAUGGUCCUUUAGUCUCUAUGGACCAGGUGGCCAGUUGGUGAGAGCCACAGCAUAGUCCUUUAGUCUCUAUGGACCAGAUGACCAGUUGGUGAGGGCCACAGCAUAGUCCUUUAGUCUAUAUGGACCAGGUGGCCAGUUGGUGAGGGCCACAGCAUAGUCCUUUAGUCUCUAUGGGCCAGGUGCCAGUUGGUGAGGGCCACAGCAUAGUCCUUUAGUCUCUAUGGGGCAGAUGGUCAGUUGGUGAGGGCCACAGCAUAGUCCUUUAGUCUCUAUGGGCCAGGUGCCAGUUGGUGAGGGCCACAACAUGGGGAAAGAAACUGUUCAUAUGGGGGUCUAUAACAUCUAAUCACAGCAUCUGACAGUUGCAACUUCAUUGCUAAUAACUGCCUUAUUUAUAUAAAGACAUCAUCUCUGUACAGAUGUAAGAUCUGAAUUUGAUCAACCUGUCACAGGAAAACUAAAAUGUGUACUAUAUUUGAGUGUAUUUAAAUAAAGCUUUAAAAAAGGUUUCUGAAGAUGAUAAAUUACACUUUUCCAUUUUAAAAUGGUUCAUUAAUUA
ensembl:lncRNA